UGGGGAAUAUUGCACAAUGGGCGCAAGCCUGAUGCAGCAACGCCGCGUGAACGAUGAAGGUCUUCGGAUCGUAAAGUUCUGUUGCAGGGGAAGAUAAUGACGGUACCCUGUGAGGAAGCCCCGGCUAACUACGUGCCAGCAGCCGCGGUAAUACGUAGGGGGCUAGCGUUAUCCGGAUUUACUGGGCGUAAAGGGUGCGUAGGUGGUCUUUCAAGUCGGUGGUUAAAGGCUACGGCUCAACCGUAGUUAGCCUCCGAAACUGGAAGACCUGAGUGCAGGAGAGGAAAGUGGAAUUCCCAGUGUAGCGGUGAAAUGCGUAGAUAUUGGGAGGAACACCAGUAGCGAAGGCGGCUUUCUGGACUGCAACUGACACUGAGGCACGAAAGCGUGGGUAGCAAACAGG
rnacentral:rRNA from 1 species